AUACGGGAGGCAGCAGUCGAGAAUUUUUCACAAUGGGGGAAACCCUGAUGGAGCGACGCCGCGUGGGGGAUGAAUGGCUUCGGCCCGUAAACCCCUGUCAUUCGCGAUCAAAGCGCAUUGUUUAAGAGAUGAUGUGUUGAUAGUAGCGGAAGAGGAAGGGACGGCUAACUCUGUGCCAGCAGCCGCGGUAAUACAGAGGUCCCGAGCGUUGUUCGGAUUCACUGGGCGUAAAGGGUGCGUAGGUGGUGGCGUAAGUCGGAUGUGAAAUCUCGGAGCUCAACUCCGAAACGGCAUUGGAAACUGCGCUGCUUGAGGGUUGGAGGGGGGACUGGAAUACUUGGUGUAGCAGUGAAAUGCGUAGAUAUCAAGUGGAACACCAGUGGCGAAGGCGAGUCCCUGGACAACACCUGACACUGAGGCACGAAAGCUAGGGGAGCAAACAGGAUUAGAUACCCGUGUAGUCCC
rnacentral:rRNA from 1 species